GGAAAGUUUUCCACCGCCUCAGGGAGGCCAACCUGCAAUUAAAUCCGGAAAAAUUAACCGAGGACGGCAUUUGUACCGAUCCUGAUAAGAUUUCAGCCAUAAAUGAGAUGCCUGCACCGAAAUCCGUACGAGA